rnacentral:lncRNA from 1 species
AUGGUCCCAGGACCGGAGGUGUGCGGAGCUGACGGCCCCCGCGGCUCGUCUUCGCCCCUUCGCGGAAGUUCUGAGCUGCUCACGCGUGACGGAGCGUCCCCGGAGCCAUCUUCCCACUUCCGGUCCCUCGCGUUGCCCUCCAGCUUUCACUUCCGGGGGACGGGGCUUCCCGCGCUCUCUGGGACUUUGAGAAACAAAGCCGCCCUGGCCGGGAGGCUUGCAGACUCCCCGCAGAGGACUCUGGGUGAGGAGAGCUGCGGAUGGACGAAGGAAGAAGUUCACUGUAUGUGCCUAUUUGAGCCUGAAGUCGCAGGAACCCUAGGAAGGGGCUGUCCUCUUGGUGUUGGCCACAUUGACGAUGCAAAGCGUGGGGCAGGGGGAGCGAGCGGCUUGGAAGAUGUGCAUAAUUAAAUGCUGAAAAAAGACACUGGAAAAGGCUGAAGAAGUCUCCACUGUUAAAGAUCAUGGGAUGUGACAUGUUAGAGCUGGGAGGAAGCUUAUUUCCUCAUUUAUAACCGAGGAACUACAUCCUCUAAUGAAAAGGAAAGACAAUUAAAUUACCUGUUCUAGGUAGUUUAGUUCCUCAGCAACCAGAAGACACGAUGCCAGACCAGAUGUUCUCUUGAGGUUGCUGUACAACCGAUUAUUUUUUGAUUUUGUGAGUCUGUGCUGGACACCAAAUGAUAAAACCACUGUGCAGUCACAUCCAUGCCUGCCCAAUGGCCUGAAAGAGUGUGGACUGAGCAGGGCCGAUGGUGUGGAAGCCCACAGUCUUGUCAUUUACCUGCUUUCUUUUCCAGAACCUUCCCUCUUUUGGCAUAAGCUGAUACAGGAAGUGGUAAAGCUAUUAUCUAUAGAUUCAGCCAAAUCAUCAUUUCCUGAUUCUAAUGUUGAACAACCAGUUUUGAAUCUUCCCCCACUUCCUCUCUAUUUCAGUUUGAGGUUCAAAACCACCCAGGAGAUAAAUUCGUCCUUGGCUGAGCAGAGUGGGGCCCUGAUGCCCUUGUAGCUCCACAGUGCCAUACCUGAGGCACAUCCCUCCUCCAGGCUGGGCCUCAGGUCUUCCCCUCUAGGUCCAGGAUUGCUAAAGUCCCUUCCAGCUCUGAAAUUCCCCAAAUUCUCUACUGAAAGUCUGGAAAGGAGACUUAUGGACCAGUUCCCUCUGGGAAGAGAAACGGGUCUUCCAGCCCUCCAGGUCUGUCCUUGGCCCAAAUCCUGUUGUUGUCUUUUUCCCAGAGUGCUGUACCAGAACCGUAAAAGAAUCAAAGAAGCAGGGUAACUUGGAACUGAAGGGUACCAGUAUUUUCAUGUGAGUUAGAAAUGGAGUCCGAGGAUGCCAGCAAGCAAGCGACCAGAGACUCUCUGCUGAGGCUGAGCAGAGUUGGAAGGGAACAGGUUUUGGGGUUCUCCU